CUCUGGGACGGGGCAGGGGCUGUGGGCCCACAGCGAGGCCGGCUGUGCAGCUGGCUCUGAUCAAAGCCUUGCAGCACUCGCCGCGCCCGACAGCCCUGUUUACAUUAACUGGCGGGGAGUGGGUUCGGGUGGCAUUUGCUAACCUGGAUGUCGGUCCCAUCUGCCCGGGUAGCUUUGCUGCCUCCAGCCACAGCCACCUAAAUGCACUGGAAACUCCCUCCCUCUGGAGUGGUUGUUUUGCUAACUCUGACUCCCUGGGAGAUCUCGUUCACAGCAAAGUGUUGUUUCCUUUUUCCUUCUUCUAUAUGGGUGUGUAUGAGUGUGGCAGUGGGAGGCUGCCAAGCACGGGGGGACGUGGUCUUUGCCGAGCAAUUGGGAUAACACCAGCACACGAGAUAGAAGUUCAGGAAGUACUACCCUGCAAAACCCUUCACGCAGCCUUAACGUGAGGAAUGAUCUGCAAUUGGUGGGAAGUCGGGGGACUUACAGCAAGGUGCAGAGCUGAGCUGGAUCUGCUGAUGGAGUCAGUCUCUGGGAGGUGUGUGUACACAAAACAUGGGUCAUGCAGGAGGCCAGGGAGUGGUGCAGUGUUUGUAUGGGGCUUUGAGGUGCUGGGGGAAAUGCUGAGAGGGAUUUGGGAGCUGCUGCGGUGCUGGAGGUCAUCUCAUAGGAAAUGACUACCAUGAAUUGGUGUUCCUUGGGAUGAAGAGGUCGUGCUGUGAUGCCCAAGCAGUGUGAACACCAGCAGCCUUGCUGCAGAAUUUCUCUUUGGUGAUGCAGUAGUUUUGAUGGGGAAGUGACGCGUGGGGACAUUGAGAGCAUGGUCGUCACUGCUGCUGGUGUGGUGUUUUGGCCUUGGAGAAAAUGGUACUCAUACAGUGCUGCUCUCAGCUUUCUGCCUGCAGCAAAGGGAACAAGUGCUUUAUAAAGUCCCUGUUUUGGUCCCAGCUUCUUCAAGUGACCUUUGUGUGUCUGCUUACUUUUGGUAAAAUGGAGGCAGUAAUGUCCAAUUGCUUUUUAGAAUCAUAGAAUAUCCCGAAUUGAGAGGAACCCAUAAGGAUCAUUAAGUCCAACUCCUAGCCAGUCUCUUUGAGGAAACCAGAGUUUUCUCGUGUGUGAGAGUGCAAGAGAAAGCAAACCCACAUGGGAAGGAGCUACGCUUUGAGGAACAUCCUGAUUGCAGAAGGACGCAAGGCUCUGUUAAAGCCCAGGGCCAGGUUAGAAGCUCACGGUGUGAAACUGCCUUAAUGCAGAUAAUCAUGGAUGAAAAGGCAGCAUAGGGUGGGAAGCAGCCUGACAAGAAGGCUGUAAUGAUGUAACGGUAAUAUGACUGGGCCAGAAGGAAGUGGUAUUAUUGGGCUAAAUUCUUUCUACUUUGAAGAGGCCAAAGCCACUUCUCACAUGAUUGGAUUCCACCUCCAGGGUCUUGAAUUUGCCAGACAGCAAACACACCAAAGGGACCUGGCUUUGCCUGUUGGACGCACAGUACCCACCAAUGAGUGGGUGACAAACUGCACGUUUCCAGGGCUGUGGUUUUCUGGGCAUCUGCUGCUGCCCGUCACUCUUGCAAACUGUCGCCGUUGAUUUUGCAGAACGUCAUCCGUCGUGUUUCCUCACGCUCCUUGGAAUGCACUAAAUAACCAAAAGAGCAGCUGACAAAAUAAAUGAGCAAAGUGGGGUUUUUUGUUGUUGGGUUUUUUUUGUUGUUUUUUUCUUUUUUCAGAGACAUUGCACAAAGGGCAGGAUGGGCUGUUUGGGACAUGCCACUUCUGCCCAUUUCAAACGCAGACUUCAUCAGGGCAGCUGGCAGAAGGGAUGGCUCCAGUCCUUCGUGCUCACAGACGGUUUGUUCCGGACCUGGCUCUGGCUGAACCCUGGUGAACUUCCCCCGCAUCCCCUUCCCCGCCGGAGAGCUUGCAGCCAUGAACUUCCCGUGCCUGACCCAAGCAUCUCCGAGAGGUGUGAUCUGAGCUGCAGCCGGAGGAAGGAGAUGGUCGACCCGCCCCUGGCUCCCGCUCAGCCUCCCUAAUCAGCGCAGGAAUGUCUCUGGAUGGCCAUGCAGCAGACAUAUAUUUCAGUGGAGGUGGCAAAGAGUAAGGGGGAAAUGUGGAAUGAUGCAGGAGCUGUAUAAUGGAAUGGAACAAAAUUUCUGGUACAUACGUAUGUUUAUAUAUAACAUCAUGCAGAAAGACCCUAUGCAAGGAGUAUGGAAGAGAGGAUGGAUCUUGCUGCUCAUGCCCCAGACCAGCCUCCUCCUUGUUGCAGACUGUAAUAAGCCAUCGCUGGAGGAUGGUAGAGAGGUUCUUUGAAAAUCUCUCCAAGGUAACUAUUUUUUACAGCUGCGUGGAUGAAAAUUGAUGGAGCUGUUGGAGAGGGUCCAGAGGAGGCCACAAGGAUGGUCAGAGGGCUGCAGCACCUCCCCUACAAAGACAGGCUGAGGGAGCUGGGCUUGUUCUGCCUGGAGAAGAGAAGGCUGAGGGGUGACCUCAUUGCAGCCGUUCAGUACCUAAAGAGAGCCUACAAACAGGAGGGGAGGCAACUCUUGGAAAGGGGAGAUAACAGCAGGACAAGGGGAAAUGGUUUUAAGUUGAAGGAGGGAAGAUUUAGGUUGGAUGUCAGGGGGAAGUUCUUUACUGUGAGAGUGGGGAGGUGCUGAACAGCUGCCCAGAGAGGCUGUGGAUGCCCCGUCCAUCCCUGGAGGUGUUCAAGGCCAGGUUGGAUGGGGCCCUGGGCAGCCUGGGCUGGUAUUACAUGUGCAGGUUGGUGGCCCUGCCUGUGGUGGGGGGUUGGAGAUUCGUGAUCCUUGAGGUCCCUUCCAGCCCAUUCUCUGACAUGAUAUGGUAUGAUAUGAUAUGAAAUGAAAACUGAGGAAGUAGCAUUAAGAGACAUAAUUUCUCCAUCUGCACUAGGAGUGGUGGUAUAGCCAUGAUGUUCUGCGGAUCAUUGGUGAAACACUGGCACAGUCUGCCCAGAGAAACUGUGGAUGCCCCAUCCCUGGAGGUGCACCAGGCUGGGCUGGAUGGGGCCCUGGGCACCCUGAGCUGAUGCCUGUGUAGUGGUUGGCAGUUCUGCCCGUGCAGUGGGCUUGGAACCAAAUGAUCAUUGAGAUCCCUUCCAACCCAAGCCAUCCUAUGAUUCUAGGAUUCUGUGAUAAGAGACAAGAGCUGUAGAGAGAGGUUAUAGAUAGAGAGAUAUCCGUGUGUACAAACAGUGAAAGAAAACCUGCUGAGCUUUGUGAACACAAACCUUUCCUUGUAAUCUAUAUAUGUGAUUAUCUGCUUUGUCAUCUAAAUGUGCAAACACCAUAACUCUUUUAAAUUUAACCCAAAUAAGCCUAAUCCUUAUCUAAGAUGACUGCAUUUGAGAACAGUGAAAAUGUUAACGCUAACAACAUAUUUUUUUGUUCUCUAAAUUCCUGCCCUUAAUUUAAUAUAAUAAACUGCUGUUUUAAAGGGAUAUUAAUAUUCUUUUCAAAGUGUUUGAGACUUUUACAUAAUUUAAAAAAUAUUUGCAGCUGUUUUGAAUGUAUCUGCAAGUACUGAUAGACAAAAGGCAUGGAUAUCCAUAAGAACGUUGUCAUAAUACAUUCCAUAUUAACGUAAGCAAAAAAGAAUGUUUGCUCAGGAAUACCAAAAAAGGUGAUUGGAAGACCCACUUCUAUGGCCUUAACAUCUUCCUGCUAAACAAGUUACACUCCUAAUGUUUUUUUUUUUUUCCUGCAUUCUUGCUUAAUUGGUUACUUGCAUCUGCCUUGUGGAAUUAGCAGCUUUUUUGCAUUUGGAUCAUCCGUAGAGCUGAACUUGGGCCAUUUGUUUUAGAUUUCCAGAAAUGAUUUAUUUGUACUGUAAUGGGAUGGAAUCAUACAGUGUUCCCCAUUUGUUUUCAGGCUUAGUUCAGAGUACAGUUUAAGCUCCCAUAGUAUAUCUGGGAGUGCUGAUUCCACUCUCAUGUCCAAGGCUCACAAAUCUUUUCUUUCCCGCUGUUUGCACCUUUCUCUCACUGCAUAAAAAUCAAGGUCCCAGGGUCAAUAUUCCAUUAGGGAAAAAAGGGGAGAGAUUAUCGCAGAGGCUGAAAAAUUUUGCUCCUGGCUAAAUCACUGAAGGAUGGUGUGUGUGUGUAAGUAAUGCUGUAAAGAGAGGGCAAAAUGUUCCUCUUGAGUAAAUUCCCUUUCCUCCCCCCCGCCUUGUAUUAAAAGCCCCGAAGGAGGCUGGGAUCUCACUUAGGUGUGGUGCUGUGCAUACAUGCAGCAGGAGAGCCUCUUUGGAAGGGGACAGCCAAUAAAGUCACCCUAUUUCCCCAGUCUCUACUGAUUGGGAUGCUGACUGGAUGUAGGAAAUACCAGACUUGUGAUAACAAUCAUAGAAACCUAGAAAAAUAGGGUGGGUAGGACCUCAUGGAGCUGUCUUGUCAACCCCUCUUCCCACAACAGGACGAGCCAUAAAGAGAGACUUCUGUUCCUUUUCAUCUUCUUUUCUUCCAUUCUUUAAGUUAAAAUAAAUAAUCCAACAACGCUGGAAGGAAGAAAAAAAACAAAAGAAGCAACGAUUUUUUAAGGACAUGCCAAAUAUUGCUUAUGAGUACUGAGGGGCAGUCCUGGGUGCGUGGUGCUUUAUGGCAGUUUUGAUGGGUGGUUGCACUGAUCUGGGCUUGUAAUAAAUGGGCUGUCCCUCUCGCCGCGAUAACAGAACAUGAGAGUAUAAAAACUUUGAAGAGCAGGAGGCAGCUGAAAAGAAAACAAUAAUCUAUGUAUAUGAGACUAGCUUGUUGCUUGGUGAUUAAGAGAUGGGGACCCCGUAGGUCAGCUCCCUGUAGGUACAAACAGAUGUUUGCACUGUUUCACAGCUGCUAAAUAUGAUAUAAAUCCAAAGAAUUUCUCAUGUUUUUAUAAAGGAAAAAAAAAAAAAAGAAGAAGAAGAAGAAGAAAAAAAAAAGAAAAAAAAAGAAAAAAAAUACCCAGACAGCAAAUUUUUGGUCAUUCAGAUACUCUUACCAAAUGACAUCUGGUUUCUGUACUGCUUAUUUAAGCAAUCCUUAAAAAAAUGUUUGCCAAGGGGAAUAACUCAAACCUUUUAGUUCUUCACCAUAUAUAACUGUACAGUUUAGAUUACAGUGUAGCAUGCAGAGUUUAUUAUAAGCAAUGCAGUUCUUCAUUUCUUAGCUAGCGAGUAUUACUUUAAAGAAAAUAGGAUAAAUAUUAUGUAAUUAGUUCAGGGAAAUUCGUGUAUAGCUGCAUUUCAGAGUACCCUCGUUUCAGAUCCAAAUGAUGACAAAGAAAAUGAAUUGUUUCCAUAUGUUAGGAGAUAGCCUGACAGUUAUGAGCAGAGAGCUAAGGCAUAAAAAUGCAAGGGGGCUCCCAUCGAACGGGAAGAAGCAAAAGCAGUACAUGUAGAAUUGCUAGCUGUGAUGUGAAGGUGCUCUGAAGGUACCAUCAUGACCUACAGAGAAGGAGAAAUGGGUGGUUUCAUGAGAAGGAAGGCAACAGGGCAACACUUGCUUUGAGUUCUGUGCUUUGAUUCUGCUGAUGUCCAAUAAGACAAGAGUUUUGACUGCAGCUUUCAUUACUCCAUGUCUGUUUGGGCAUUCAUGAGGUCUUUUGGGAUUCUCUGAGGUCUAAGAAAGGCUUGUGUCCAUGCCGAUGCCAUUCCUUCAAGGCAAGCAUCAAGAAGCCUGCCGCCCCUACCCGGCCACCUACCGUCACGAAGCACAUGGGAACCUGGUACCCUCAAGACCUCUAUCUUUCUGCCAAAAUUGGUUGAAACUGGCUAAUGAGCUCACAAGUUAUUUUCUUUGGGAUGGAGAGGGGGCAGACAGACGCACUCCUCGGGAACAUAAAUGCCUGCAUCUCAUGUCUGCUGGAAGCCGACACAAAAAUCUCCGUAUUAAGCUUAUCGUAUAAAUUAUAUAUGCAUGUAUUUUACAGAGAAAGAUUUAUUGCCUUCAAUAUCUAGGCAUUUUAUGCUUUUGAAGUCAUGCAUACUUUGAUCCAACAAAUACUUACACUUACAAGUCACUUGGUGUGCUGAGGGUUCAGUGAGGCUGCUUUCCCUGAGUAAAGCAAAGUCCCAAAGAACAGAAGGGUGAUCAAUAGCAGAUGAUCCACGUGCUUUCUCUGUGGUCUCUUCUGUCUUCAGGGCUCUGCUAAUUCAAAGGGUUAUAAAAGCAUUAUACCCUAUAAGGGGUGUAGUGCCCGUUAGAACCUCUGAGUGCUCGUGGCUGGCCUAUUCAACGCUCUCAGCCGGUGUGACUCAGUGACUUCCACCCUUUUUGAAUUGGUGGAUACGCAACUUUUUCCAGUUAUUUUGAAUCUAAUGAGCAUGCUUUUCUUCAUUUCUUUUUCACAGGCCUGCCUAUUAUUCUGUGGAUGAAAAUUCACACGUCCACAGUGACUGUAAUAUUAAAUUCCUGUGUAUCUGUGGUCUUUCUUGAGGUGCCUGAUAGUCAGCAGCUUCCUUCUGUCUCUUUGUCGAGCAAUUCCAGUGCAACAAUUACCAUGAAUCAUCCAUUUUGUAUAUAUCUCAAUGUCUGGCUGGGCUUAUUUUCACAUGAAUGCACGUCCCACAGUACUGCUUGGUAGCUAGGAGCAAAGUGGGGUCAUAUAUUCUGCAGCAAUGACAUGAUUGCAUUUUUGUUUCUUUUUUUUUUCUUUGCUCUCCUUGAUUUGACCUAUCACCACCAUUGUGAGAUGCACUGCAAUAUUUGCCCAUCUGAGGACAGGAAAACCUAGUGCAAAUCCUAGAAAGUGGAAAUUGCCCUACGCAUGGCAGAGUGGAGCAAGCAAUGCUUCCAAUAAAAGAAUUGUGAAACUAUUCCCAUCGGUGGCCUGUCCUCUACCCACAACAGUGACAGAGAAGACUGUUUGAUUUCCAUCAGCAGAAUAAUAUGAGUGUGGACGCCACUGCCACAAAUUUAAGAAGGAUCUCCAGUUGCUGCUUGCCAAAGAAACAGUGCAUGGUCUGGGGGUUUUCAGCCCUCAAGUGGAGAUGCCGCUGGUGUGAUGACAGCUUGAGCAGCAUGAAGCUCCAGAAGAGCUUGAACAGAAAGGGCUGUGUUUGCAAAGAGGUGGGUCAGCUGUGUCUCUGGAGAGCUGCAUGCAGAGCCAGACCCGACCUCUUCUCAGUGAGGUGGAAGCAAAUGUUGGUGCUUUGGGUCUGUCCACAUCUACAAGCAUGCGUGAGGUCCCUUGCCGUGGUUCAGCUGAUGUGGGGCAUCUUGCUCAACAGUUUGAGAGUCUCAGCUUGCAAAUAUUGAAGGAGAUAAAUGGUUAAAAGAAAACCAAAACAACCAUACCCAAAAUAAACAAACCAACCCCAAACAAACAAAUGAAACCUCAAAACAAACAAAGAACUCAAAACAAACAGCCAAAACCUUCCCUACCCCCUCUCCCCCCCAAAAAAAUGAAGGAAGGAACAAGGAACCCUGGUGAUCACAGCAGGAUCUGCAAGGCUCACACUGGAGAGGACAGGUAUGACAGGGGCACGUUUAGCACCUGGCUGCUCUUUACAUCACAGGGCAGAAAUAUGAAAAAUAUGAAAUAUGCAGCAGGGUUGGAUGAAAAGGAAAAUGUAAUGAGAGUAGGAGAAAGAAUGCCACAUGCUCCAACCGCAUCUGAACUUGGCAGCAGCAGCCCAGGGAAGCCCAUGUAAAUCCUAGAAGCAUGUUAAAGGCAUUUUCACCCCACAAAGACUGACAUGCAUGAAAAGUAUUGUUUCAACAAUGUCAGUCAAGAGCCUGGAGAAAUAAUUUGCUAAUAUACUGCCUAGAAGCCCAACAUGGCUAAUUGGAGGGAUGUUCACAUCUUGGAAUGGAGACUACUUGGGAACAGUCUUCCAAUGGGGUAACGAAGUGCAAAGAAGUAAAGGCUGUGUGAACAAGAUGGUGUGUCGAUGCUGCAUUUACACAGCAAAGUGAGAGAUUUCCUCAAGGAGCACAAAGAAAACAUGACAGCAGAGAGAAAACACAUGUACAUGAAGCAUAGGCAAUACAACGUAAGGACAGACUGAGGGAUGUUGUAGAGAAAGACAUAACUGAAAACGCUCGGAAUAUUGCCUAUGUCAUGUGCAAAGGAAGUUAUUAUCCAGCAGCACUGUGCCCAGGCAGAGCAAGCAUUCCUUCCAGUAAGGUUUAGGAGAUGAAUCCUCACUUCUGGGGGCAGCGUGGUCAUCCUUUGGGUUUCUUCUUGGCCUGUCCUUUGUGUACUGUAGACACAUCAAGAUCUGCAAAGGCUUAGCUACGCUGCUAUUUUUCCCUUAAAAAAUAUACUCUCUAAUUUAUUGAAUUACAGGAUACAUAUCAUUUUGCAUUAAAGGGGAUAUAGUGGAAUGCAUUCAUAUUCAAUUUGGCCGUUGCAGCAGAAUCACGGAAUCACAGAAUGGCCCGGGUUGGAAGGGACCUCCAGGAUCAUGAAGCUCCAAACCCAGCAGGAAAUACAACAAUAUCUUCCUAAAAUAAGGCAUUAUAAGUCUCUGUCAGCUCCCUCAAGUUGGCUUAGAAAUAGCUUAUGGACCCAUUUCCCCCAAAGAUCUGUGGAGGAUGGAUGAAUGGGAAGCAUCUGUAGGUGAGGAACUGUGUUACACAGGAAACAUUGCUCUGUCUUUAUGCUCAGCCUUUUUUUUUUCUUACAUUGCAGAUCUGAAAAGCCAUAAAGAAAAGUAUAAUUUGCCUGAUUCUUCUGGCUAGCUGGGAGAAUGAAUGAGCCCCACUGGUUCCUGAGGUGCAUUGGCCAUGCUGAUGGCAGGUUUGCUAAAUCUCAGGGGAGGGAUGCAGCUGUGACAGCGGGCAUCCAGGGUCAGGGGGGACACAUUUUGUCUUGGUGGAGCUUCAGCAGGUGGUGGAUUGAACCCAAGCAGGAUACGGAGGUCACAAGUCCAGGAUAACUUGCAAGUCCAACCCAAUCCAUGGGCAGUUCACCAGAGAACCAUGGAAUCCAGCCAUAAAGGCUGGAAAAGGCCUCUAAGAUCCCAAGUCCAACCCCAGCCCACCCCAUCAUGCCCACUAGUCAUGUCCCCCCAGUGCCACAUCUCUUGAUGAGAUCUUCCUGAACACCUCCAGGGAUGGGGACUCCACCACCAUCCUGGGCAGCUUCUUCUAAUAACUCACCACCCUUUGCACUACUUUCCAUUCUGCUUCCAGUAAGACAGAGACAGAAAGUGGAGCUGAGCCUACUGAAGAACGAAGGACAGCCAACAUGUACUAGGUGCUCAUGCUUGAUGCCUGCAGGCCAGGUAAAUCCAGGGAGCAGUUGUAAAAGGAAGGGAAGUGCAGGGACAGUCGCAGCUGAUUCUCCCACUGGCUGUGGGGAAGGUACUGCACCUCCCUGCAGCUUUUAUUUAUCUCCUAGACUUUCUCUUGCAUGUUUAAAUUGCCGUGGCUUUGAAGGAGGAGCUGUGCUGUGCACUGUCCCAGCACCCACCAGGACGUCUAUUGGGACAGCUGCUCUCCUAUCCGCCCACCAAAUGGCUGAAUUCUCCAGCAAGGACAAAGACCUUAUUUAUGCUCAUGCCUCUCAAAGUACAUAUAUUUUAGUCCUGGAGGAUUUACUGGCAAUAAAGUUUUCUUCUGAGAUUCCUAAAUCACGAGGUACUUAGGCUCUGCAGACCAUGAUGCCCAUGGACAAUAUUUGCUCUGUAGCUUGACACAUCUUUCUGCCUUAGAAUAACAGAAAAACAUGCAGCCAGGACCUGCCCAGCUGCGAGGACUCUAAAUCACCUGCUUUUUCUUUGUUUCCAGAGGGGCAGGUGCAGCUCAGAUUAUCUGCAAGCUAUUUUAUGACUUAACAACACGGGCUUUAAUGCAGUUAGAGAUGCCUUUAUUCAUUCUUACACUCCUGAGUAUUUUUGUGUAAACAUUUUUCAUCUGUGGCAAGCCAGUUUGUUUGUUGUGUUUUGUCAUGUCAGAGCAGACUGUGAUUAGACACUGAGAUGAGACUACUAAAUAUUCUCAGAUGUUUUCUAUUUCCUCAGAGAAGAGCUGGAUUUGAACCAAAGCUCCGAGGUGAAAGGGUGAUGUGUAAUAUAUUGAGACAUCUGAAAUAAAAUAAUGUAAUGUUUUUAAUAUUUAAGAAGAAAAAGGCAGCAGUAAAACAUCGUGGAAGGAGGAAAACAUGAAUACCUAUAUAUUUUAAUUUUAAAUACAUGCAGAUGUUGAAUUUUAAUCAGAGCAUGUCAGAAUCUGACUGUAACAAAGGCAAAAAUGUGAGAUCUGUUUUCUUGAAUUGCUUCCAUAUUUUGAGCUCCAGAUUUUUAUUACAUAUAGCACUGCAUCAUCAUAUAUUUAUGUAAAGUGCCAGCACCCAUUGACUUAGCAUAUGCCUGAUGGUUAGCAUAUAAAACACUUCACAGUGAGAAGUAUAUUCUUUCCCUCAGUAUGUACAGUAUAUACCAUAUUAUACACGCCUGCACCUUCUUGCACAGUGGCAGAGCUCGUUUUCACCUCUCAGUAGGUCUGGUGUUUCUUUUG
ensembl:lncRNA